rnacentral:rRNA from 1 species
UACGGAGGGGGCUAGCGUUGUUCGGAAUUACUGGGCGUAAAGCGCACGUAGGCGGUUUUUCAAGUCAGAGGUGAAAGCCCGGGGCUCAACUCCGGAAUUGCCUUUGAAACUGGAAGACUUGAACACGGGAGAGGUGAGUGGAAUUCCGAGUGUAGAGGUGAAAUUCGUAGAUAUUCGGAGGAACACCAGUGGCGAAGGCGGCUCACUGGACCGUUGUUGACGCUGAGGUGCGAAAGCGUGGGGAGCAAACAGGAUUAGAAACCCCUGUAGUCC